rnacentral:siRNA from 1 species
AUAAACGCCUCUAAUCAUGAGUGC